rnacentral:tRNA from 2 species
CGCAGAAUAGCCCAAUCAGGUACGGCGCUUGGUUCAUACCCAAGAGAUUCUUCGUUCAAAUCGAAGUUCUGCACCCA